rnacentral:rRNA from 1 species
UUGCACUCACCGGUAAAGGGUUGAGUGGCGAACGGGUGAGUAACACGUGGGCAACCUGCCCAAAAGAGGGGGAUAACACUUGGAAACAGGUGCUAAUACCGCAUAACCAUAGUUACCGCAUGGUAGCUAUGUAAAAGGUGGCUAUGCUACCGCUUUUGGAUGGGCCCGCGGCGCAUUAGCUAGUUGGUGGGGUAAAGGCUUACCAAGGCAAUGAUGCGUAACCGAACUGAGAGGUUGAUCGGCCACAUUGGGACUGAGACACGGCCCAAACUCCUACGGGAGGCAGCAGUAGGGAAUCUUCCACAAUGGGCGAAAGCCUGAUGGAGCAACGCCGCGUGGGUGAAGAAGGUCUUCGGAUCGUAAAACCCUGUUGUUAGAGAAGAAAGUGCGUGAGAGUAACUGUUCACGUUUCGACGGUAUCUAACCAGAAAGCCACGGCUAACUACGUGCCAGCAGCCGCGGUAAUACGUAGGUGGCAAGCGUUAUCCGGAUUUAUUGGGCGUAAAGGGAACGCAGGCGGUCUUUUAAGUCUGAUGUGAAAGCCUUCGGCUUAACCGGAGUAGUGCAUUGGAAACUGGGAGACUUGAGUGCAGAAGAGGAGAGUGGAACUCCAUGUGUAGCGGUGAAAUGCGUAGAUAUAUGGAAGAACACCAGUGGCGAAAGCGGCUCUCUGGUCUGUAACUGACGCUGAGGUUCGAAAGCGUGGGUAGCAAAC